UGUUGUAAUUCAGCAUAAACUGGCCAUGCUCAUCAAAGAGGAACUAUUGAAGAAAUUAGGCUAAAAAUGUGUCACAGAGGCAUAACAGUGAGACAAAGUCAUCCCUCUGCUGUGCCAGCAUCAGAGGUGGCAACAGAAGCUCUACAGGUGGGAGAUGGGAUCAAUGUGAACAGCAGAUCUGGCAGGGCAGAACAGAGUGUGGUGGAAGGUGAGCUGAGUAUCCAUGCAACAGAGGCAGCUGUUGGAGGACACCUCUCUCUGGAUACGACAGCAGUCCACAGGUCUGCCAUCUUAGAUCAGCCUGACAGCUGAGACGGCUGCUGACAGCGACACCAAGGACACACAGCUCUGUUAAGCACCAGGCAGCCACCUUUGAAGCAAUGAGAAGUGUGUGACUGUGUGACUGUGUGUGUGUGUGUGUGUGACUGUGUGACUGUGUGAGAGUGUGAGAG